ensembl:lncRNA
CCAGAAGAGGAGAGGAAAGCUCCUUCCCUGACCUCUGACCCACUGUCCCAGCCAGCUCCCAGAAACUGAGCUGAGUGUGCAGUCAUCCCUUAGCCGUGUGGAGGGACAGGUUUCUGGGACUACCACCUGGGGCACCCUUCACCUUGAGACCCAGCAAAAGAGGGCCAUCUCUACCUGCCCAACCCUUGCUCUCUUUCUGCUCAUGCGGGGCCACUGUCUCCAGCCAGUUCCAGCUGCUUGUGCCGGUCACCCGAUCCACCCUGUAGCCCUGCAAACUUUAUGGUAUUCUGGGCGGCGGCUGGCCUGGUGGAGGCGGGGGCUUCUAC